CACGGCGGCCAUCUUGGAGCGGUCGUCCUUCCUACUUGGCUAAACUAAAACAGCAGCAGAACCUCCGCACCACCGGAUAUUUUUAUUCGGAUUGACGGACUGUUGACGUGAGAUCUCGGGGGAUAACGUUUCACAAUGCUGAUGCUACCACUUGAUGCUGCCUUACCCUUUGUUGUGACAUAAUGAAUGCAGAAGGUCAAACGGUCCAGUGACCCCAGACUUUCACUCUGAAACAAACCAAAAUGCUGCUGACAGAUUCCUCUGAGCCGCCAAAGUUGUGUAGAGAAAGUUAGGAGGAAGAAC